UUGUUGAUUGUUGGCCAGAGACCACCCUCAGCUCGCAGAGGACACCCCCAGUUCUUUGCCAUUUAGGACUGCCCAACAUGGCUACUUGCUUCCGCGUAGUCAGCAAGAGAAAGACUAGCAUGGUCCCACACUUACAGGGAAAGCAUCACCCGAAAGUGAGAAUGCCUAGAGGCAGGAAUCAUGGAGGCUUCCUUAACCGUCUGUCUGCAACAGCAGGUGCUAGAGAUGACACUGCAGAGUAGAGAACAAAGGAAUCUUAGUAAUUGUUCAAUCCAAUCUCCACACUUUAAAGAUGAAGAAACUGGUAUUGAGAAAAAUACACAGCUUAUCCAAGGUUGCACUGCUGGUUGGUAGCUGAGAUGAAUUUAGAACCCACAUCUGAUGACUACACCAUAUUGCUCCCAGUUUUCCUGUCUGUUCCACAUGUAAAAGUCUGACUCUUCACUUCUCCUUUGAGUAUAUAGACUUUUAACAUUUUUGUAUGUCAAGAUGGACUUUUCCUCAUACCCAGCCCCUGCCUUUUCUCCUCCCUUCAUACCUUGCAGGAUCUUUAACAGAAUUUAAAAGGAGUUUUUUGUUUUGUUUUGAUGUAUCUAAUAAAAGUCAAGGGAGGGAGAGGGCCAGUAUAAGCAAGAGUACAGUUUCCUAGUUUGUAGAUGCGGUAGUCUGAGGAAUCAGAAACACACAAAGGUUUGGAGAACUGGUACAUGCUCCCAGGUGGGAAGCCAGGACUCUUGGUAGGAUCUUGAGGACAAGGCAAAGGACAAUAAGAGAGCGAGGGGAUCCUAGAGGUGGAAUCAAGGAAGAGAAACUAGAGAGAGAAAAAGGAACUGGCUAUCCAUCCAUGAUGGAUCCUGUGUGGACUGAUGGGUGGCUUGGCAUCAUCCUUUAGUAGACUUCAUGUGGUUGAAUAAUUGGCCAAUGGAAGGAAUUUCUUUUUUGGUAACAGACUCUGUGUGUACAGUUAUGGGUCUUAAUUUAUAAUAAAAGGUUACAUUGAAAAUUGAG
rnacentral:lncRNA from 10 species